rnacentral:rRNA from 1 species
UGGUGGAGUGAUCUGUCUGGUUAAUUCCGAUAACGAACGAGACCUCAACCUGCUAAAUAGUUCUACUCGGGUAAAACUUCUUAGAGGGACUUCCAAGGCUACUUGGAGGAAGUGUGAGGCAAUAACA